rnacentral:rRNA from 1 species
CCCCUAGAUGUUCUGGGCCGCACGCGCGCUACACUGAACAGUUCAACAAGUCUUAACCUUGGCCGAUAGGUCUGGGUAAUCUUUGAACGCUGUUCGUGAUUGGGAUAGACCUUUGCAAUUAUGGGUCUUCAACGAGGAAUUCCUAGUAAACGCAAGUCAUCAGCUUGCAUUGAUUACGUCCCUGCCCUUUGUACACACCGCCCGUCGCACCUACCGAUUGAAUGUUCCGGUGAAAUCUCGGGACGGCGGCUUGGUCGCUUGCGUCCGACUGCUGAAACUUGAUUAAACCAUAUCAUUUAGAGGAAGGUGAAGUCGUAACA